rnacentral:rRNA from 1 species
UACGUAGGGGGCGAGCGUUGUCCGGAAUUACUGGGCGUAAAGGGAGCGUAGGCGGCCGAUUAAGUUGGAUGUGAAAUCCCCGGGCUUAACUUGGGUGGUGCAUCCAAUACUGGUUGGCUAGAGUACAGGAGAGGAAAGCGGAAUUCCUGGUGUAGCGGUGAAAUGCAUAGAUAUCAGGAGGAACAUCGGUGGCGAAGGCGGCUUUCUGGACUGACACUGACGCUGAGGCUCGAAAGCGUGGGGAGCAAACAGG